GCAGGCAGAGCGGCCUCACCCUCCGGCCCCUGGCCGCCGCGUCGCGGCUCUGGGCUCCAUCCUCUGUGCCACCUCGGCCGGGAUUGGGGGACCCUGACCUACUCUGCGGGUAGGACGCGGAGGGGACGGGCCGGCCACGCCCCCCAGCCACUCCCUGGAGGCGCUGGAAAAGGAAAGAGGGCUGACUGAAGGGCAAGAAGAAAAAAACCCUCGAGGGAUCUCUCCGUCCCCUGAGCUCCUACGACCGGAUAAGUGAUCUUCCUAAAUGAACAGAAAAGCCAGCUGAGGGCCAAGCACCCAGAUGGGCCUGUGGACGAAAGGGGCCACGUGCUGACCAGACCGGCUCAAGGAGUCCUGCAUGGCGGUCUUGCAAACUCAGAGACCUAAAGUCACCACAAAGGAUGGUCUGAAAUUAAACUUUAACUAAAAGCAGUGAUGGUGGGCAGUUACGUCCUGGGCCAGUA